rnacentral:misc_RNA from 1 species
GGGCAGCGAGACGUCUCGAGCAAGCCUCUUCAGUUGUUGGUUCAAGUGCUAGCACGCCUUGGCCGAUGUCGGUUUCCUGUGCUGAAUUCCUACCGAAUGGCAAUCUAUCGGCUACCAUCGUCCCGUACUCCUCCUCUCGUUGCGUCUCCUCACGGAGAUGCGGUGCGGGGAGGACAUCAAGGCCCCCGUUGCGUUUCGCAGCCCGCACACUCCUUCUUGGGGAUGUUCGGGAUGUCGACCCGCGACGUUGUGCUCGAUCUCUCGGAUGCGGAAAACAAAGCGGCUACGAGGCCACGGCCUCCACUGUCCCUAAAAUAAAGAGCGUUGUACGCUCCCUACGGACGACUGCCGAUCGGGUCUUGUCCCGAGCCCCCGUGGCAAGGGUCAUGCCCGUUCGGAGUCGACGAGGAAUGCUACCUGGUUGAUCCUGCCAGUAGUCAUAUG